ACGCUUUUGUACGAUGUCGGAAGCUAUCCAGCUUGAUAAGUUACGUUGAACACCUGCUAUCGCAUCUGGAACGAGUACAGCUAUCAGCUGGAUCUAUAAUAAAGAUGAUACCACCAACUGGACUCUCAAAGGAAGCCAAAAGACCAUUGAACAAUUUGAAAAACUACAAUCUCAAUACAUGCAUGCAUAUUGUAAGAAGGUAAUGUGAAGCACAAGACAUAAACAAAGAUCGGACUCAGUAGUGAGUUUCACAUUCCACUGAGGGUAGCAUAAUGUUGGGUGUCAACCUCAGGAUAGGCAAGAAUGCAAAAUACAAGCCAGAAAUAAUAUACAGAAAACAGGUUCUAUAUGUGAACCUCUUGACAGGACCCUUCUCUUUGCUAAGAGAAGUGUGGAGUAUAAC